rnacentral:rRNA from 1 species
UCCUACGGGGGGCAGCAGUAGGGAAUAUUGCACAAUGGACGAAAGUCUGAUGCAGCAACGCCGCGUGUGCGAAGAAGGUCUUCGGAUCGUAAAGCACUUUUCGGGGAGAUGAGGAAGGACAGUAUCCCCGGAAUAAGUCUCGGCUAACUACGUGCCAGCAGCCGCGGUAAAACGUAGGAGGCAAGCGUUAUCCGAAUUUACUGGGCGUAAAGCGUGUGCAGGCGGCUCGAUAAGUUGGAUGUGAAAUCUCUUGGCUCAACUGGGAGAGGUCGUUCAAAACUAUCGGGCUCGAGGGCAGUAGAGGGAGGUGGAAUUCCGGGUGUAGUGGUGAAAUGCGUAGAUAUCCGGAGGAACACCAGUGGCGAAAGCGGCCUCCUGGACUGCACCUGACGCUCAUACACGAAAGCUAGGGGAGCGAACGGGAUUAGAUACCCGGGUAU